AGGAGCGCAGUGAGGUAAAAGUCUCACGCUGCGUUCUGAAGACGAGUCAGGUUGGUAACAACCUGGCUUAGUUUAAC
rnacentral:ncRNA from 1 species